AUUGCCGGGGCCGUGCCAGCCGUUCUCGGCGCUACCCGGGCUGGAAGAGCAUGGCGCGCAGGGGAGUUGGCGGUCGCGCUGCGGUUGAGCGGAGCAGAGCCCGGCUGAGCAUCCUUUCCGUUGUGCAGUGGGGAUGGUGUACAGAGCUGUUUCAUUGUGAGAAAAGCCCCAUAAUUGCUUGACUAAUCAACACGAGGUAACUUGCUGCAAACGGGCCUUGCUGUGUCCUCAGCAGGUUGCUUUUCAGUACUGCACAGCUCAGCGUUCCCAUCUUCUGAGGGGACAUAAGACUGCCUGUACUAUCUACUCUUUUCUGUGAGCUCUAAUAAAUAACAGUUUAAGUGAUACUUCUUGGGGUCUGAGUGCCUACCGUGGUGGGAUCACCACAGGCCAGCUACUGCUACUACUAUUGUAACUACUACUACUCCCUGCUGUAACGGGUGAGGAAGAGAGCACCCGUCAACGUGGAGGAUGUGGGAGCUGGAUGCAUGCAGCAAAGGUGUGAAUAGACAAUCUGAGAGAAGAGGAAGUUCAUACCUUCUGGAUUCUACCUGGAUCAGGGGUAAUAUUAGCAGUAUCGAUCAAGAGAAGUGAUAAUUGUCUCUUGGUGGAGGGGAAAAGAAUAAACAGGUAAUGUUUAAUAUCUAAAACAUGGAAAAGAGCUAGAAGAGAAAUUGUUACAAAAAAGUCCAAAAUUACCUGGAAUCCACUAGUGCUGCCUGUGUCCUUAAGCCCGUUUGCUAUUCUGACACCAUCAUAUCAAAUGUUGGCUGUGGCCCUUCGUGGCGGCCUUAUUCCUGCUGUCUACUCUGACUGCCCAUACAGCACACAGCACUUUCAUUCAGGUUGCCAAGAGAGAUACAUGGCAUUACUGCAGUAUUUUGCAAGGAGAGGCAUUACUUAACUGAGUGGGAAGGCUGUAUCUAGUGUUUUCCUCUGUUGCACAUUCUCUUGCUGAAAUUCUAUUGUUGGACAUCUGAAAUUAGCAUUUCUUAGAGCUGUACCAACUCAGUCUUUCUGUAGUGUUAUGGCUUUAAUGGCAGUGGUAGACUGUGUAUCAACAGAGGCUAGACUUUUGGAGCCAUGAAAUAUUUAUGAGCUAUCAAAAA